rnacentral:lncRNA from 1 species
AGAUCAUUUAUAGAAGAAAUUGAUCAAAUAUCUUAAUUUAAAAGAUUUUAAAAAUUAAGAACCCUUAUUAGAUCAAUUAUAAAAAGAACAAUUAUAAUAGUUAUCUUUUUUUUAAUUCCCACAUUGAGCUCUAUCUUGUCUCUUUGAGAGAACCAAAAACUCUUGCACAUCUUCUUUCUUUAUCUUAUUUAUUCUCUCUUUCCACAUUAUGCUUCAUCUUCUCUCUUCAUUACUAGUAUCCUCAUUGCACUCUUGAACCCACCCACACUGAAUUUAAAAAUUGUUGCACUCAAAUGUCGGUGGGAUUUCCCUACUCACCCUUAUCUCGCUCACAUCGACAUUCAUGUCUUUGG